ensembl:lncRNA
GGGAGGUAAAGGGGCUGGGGUAAGUGGGGAGGUUAAGGGGCUGGGGUAAGUGGAGAGUUUAAGGGGCUGGGGUAAGUGGAGCGGUUAAGGGGCUGGGGUAGGUGGAGAGGUUAAGGGGCUGGGGUAAGUGGAGCGGUUAAGGGGCUGGGGUAAGUGGAGAGGUUAAGGGGCUGGGGUAAGUGGAGAGGUUUAGGGGCUGGGGUAAGUGGAGAGGUUUAGAGGCUGGGGUAAGUGGGGAGGUUAAGGGGCUGGGGUAAAUGGAGAGGUUUAGGGUGCUGGGGUAUGUGGAGAGGUUUAGGGGCUGGGGUAAGUGGAUAGGUUAA